rnacentral:rRNA from 1 species
GAUGAACGCUAGCUACAGGCUUAACACAUGCAAGUCGAGGGGAAACGCCAUCGAAAGCUUGCUUUUGAUGGGCGUCGACCGGCGCACGGGUGAGUAACGCGUAUCCAACCUGCCCAUCACUUGGGAAUAACCUUGCGAAAGUAAGACUAAUACCCAAUGAUAUCCCACGAAGGCAUCGGAAUGGGAUUAAAGAUUUAUCGGUGAUGGAUGGGGAUGCGUCUGAUUAGCUUGUUGGCGGGGUAACGGCCCACCAAGGCAACGAUCAGUAGGCGUUCUGAGAGGAAGGUCCCCCACAAUGGAACUGAGACACGGUCCAAACUCCUACGGGAGGCAGCAGUGAGGAAUAUUGGUCAAUGGGCGAGAGCCUGAACCAGCCAAGUAGCGUGCAGGAAGACGGCCCUAUGGGUUGUAAACUGCUUUUAUAAGGGAAUAAAGUGGGUCACGUGUGACUUUUUGCAUGUACCUUAUGAAUAAGGACCGGCUAAUUCCGUG